CGCUGCCAUGUUUUACCAUGUAUCCGAAAGAGAUCAGUGCGUCAUCGAGGAAUACCUAAGAUGCCCCAAAAGCGAUGUCCUCCAAUGGUAGAGUUGCGGUGGACGGCGUAAGUUGCGGUUGCUCCAAUGGAUCUUGCCGGAACUGCGGUUGUUCCAACUGCCAGAAGAGGCAUCAGCGAAACGAGCGAAGGACAUAAGGCUAUCCGUGUAUUUUUGGAUCACCACGGUGGUUAGGAAAUCGCGUUGCUCAAGGACUCGCUAAUCCUGGCCACCGCAAAAAUUAACUUUUCGACUAAGACAUUUUUGAGCUAUUAUUGGAUUCAGAUUAUAAUAGCUCUCAUAUGCUGGGAUACCCAACACUGGGAUAUCCUAUACUUGGAUAGCAUAUACCUUGGUACACUAUACAUUGGUACCCUAUACUUUGGUACCCUAGACUUUGGUUCCCUAGACGUCGGUACCCCAUACUUUGGUACCCUCCAGUUGAAUACCUUCACUUGGAUACCCUACACUCGGAUACCCCACAGCUUGGAUACCCCAAAUACGGAUAACGAUUGACUUGGAUUCGAAAUAUAUAGGAUAGGUUUAUAGGAUUACUUGAAUAUCCUAAACUUGGAUACCCCAUAUUUGACUGUUAUUAGGACUGCUGUUCCCAGACUCAAGAAGGAAUCGAUGAUUUAAAACGUUUGUGAACGUUAAUUAAUUAAAGACAUUAAUACGA